GGGGAUAUAGCUCAGUUGGUAGAGUUCUUGCCUUCCAUGCACAAGGCCCUGGGUUCUAUUCCUCAGCACCACCA
rnacentral:tRNA from 1 species